CCUACGGGAGCCACCAGUGGGGAAUAUUGGCCAAUGGGGGCAACCCUGAUCCAGCAAUCCCGCGUGUGUGAAGAAGCCCUGCGGUUUGUAAAGCACUUUCAGUGGGAGAGGAAAAGCUCAAGCUUAAUACCUCCCUGAGUCUUGACGUUACCCACAGAAGAAGCU
rnacentral:rRNA from 1 species